rnacentral:rRNA from 1 species
AACGAACGCUGGCGGCGUGGAUAAGACAUGCAAGUCGAGCGCUGAUUUGAGGGUAGCAAUAUUUUCAAGUCGGAGCGGCGCAAGGGUGCGUAACACGUGGGAAUCUGCCUUGAAGUGUGGGAUAACUCCGAGAAAUCGGAGCUAAUACCGCAUGUGAUCGAAAGAUUAAAGUUGGGGAUCGUAAGACCUGACGCUUCAAGAUGAGCCCGCGGCCUAUCAGCUAGUUGGUGAGGUAAUGGCUCACCAAGGCUAAGACGGGUAGCUGGUCUGAGAGGACGACCAGUCACACUGGAACUGAGACACGGUCCAGACACCUACGGGUGGCAGCAGUCGAGAAUUUUUCUCAAUGGGCGAAAGCCUGAAGGAGCGACGCCGCGUGGGGGGU